UUGAUAACUGGAAAGUUGUAGCUGGCCUCUCGGGGCAUGUGCACGCUGACCACUAAUCUCCAAUACACCUGUGAACUUACCGUAGGCCUUUUGGCUUAUGUCUUUCAUAAACCCCAUGCAUGUAUCAGAAUGUAAUAUAUUUGUUUGCCCUAAAAAGCAACUAAAAAAACAAUA
rnacentral:misc_RNA from 1 species